rnacentral:rRNA from 1 species
AGAUUAAGCCAUGCAUGUCUAAGUAUAAAUAAAUUUAUAUUGUGAAACUGCGAAUGGCUCAUUAAAUCAGUUAUGAUCUACGUGACAUAUUCUUUACUACUUGGAUAACCGUGGUAAUUCUAGAGCUAAUACAUGCAAAACCCAAACUUACGAAUGGGUGCACUUAUUAGAUAAAGCCAACGCUGGGUAAACCAGUUUCCCUUGGUGAUUCAUAAUAAUUAAGCGGAUCGCAU